GGCUUGUUGAUUAUAAUUUCAGGUCUGACCUGCCCAAUGAGUAUUUUAAUGGCCGCGGUAUAUUGACCGUGCAAAGGUAGCAUAAUCAUUAGUUUUUUAAUUGAAAGCUGGUAUGAAAGGUUCGAUGAGAAAGUUUCUGUCUCUGGAGAAAUUUAUUAGAAUUUUAUUUUUAAGUUAAAAAGCUUAAAUUUUUAUAGAAGACGAGAAGACCCUAUAGAGUUUAAUAUUUGUUUUAUCUAAUAAAUGAAGGAAAAAUGAUUAAUUUGUUAAGGCGAGUGUUUUAUUGGGGUGAUAGAAAAAUUGAUAAAACUUUUUUUUGAAUAAGAACAUUAAUUUGUGAAUUUGUGAUCCUAGAUUGUAGAUUAUAAGAUGAAAUUACCUUAGGGAUAACAGCGUAAUUUUUUUUAGAGCUCUUAUCGAAAAAAAAGAUUGCGACCUCGAUGUUGGAUUAAAAUAAGUUGUUGGCGAAGAAGUUGAAAUAACUAGGUCUGUUCGACCUUUUAAAUUUUACAUGAUCUGAGUUUAGACCGGCGUGAG
rnacentral:rRNA from 1 species